GGGCCGUUAGCUCAGUUGGUUAGAGCAGCGGACUCAUAAUCCGUUGGUCGAUGGUUCAAGCCCAUCACGGCCUA
rfam:Variovorax sp. PAMC 28711, complete genome.